rnacentral:rRNA from 1 species
CCCGUCACGCCACGGAAGCUGUGAGCGCCCGAAGUCCGUGCAGCAACCCGCAAGGGAGCAAGCGGCCGAAGGCGAGCGCAGUGACUGGGGCG